GAGGGUACAGCUCAGUGGUAGAGUACAUGCCUAGCAUGCAUGAGGUCCUGGAGUCAAUCCCCAGUAUCUCCA
rnacentral:tRNA from 1 species